AUGCUCACUUCAGCAGCAUAUAUGUUAAAAUUGGAAUGUUGCAGAAGAGAUUAGCAUGACCCUUGUGUAAGAUGACAUGCAUAUUUGUGAAGCAUUCCAUAUUUUU
ensembl:snRNA U6 U6 spliceosomal RNA